rnacentral:rRNA from 1 species
GACGAACGCUGGCGGCGUGCUUAACACAUGCAAGUCGAACGAGUGGCGAACGGGUGAGUAACACGUGGGUGACCUGCCCUGCACUUCGGGAUAAGCCUGGGAAACUGGGUCUAAUACCGGAUAGUGUGGGAUGGGCCCGCGGCCGAUCGGCUUGUUGGGGGGGUAAUGGCUACCAAGGCGCGACGGGUAGCCGGCCUGAGAGGGUGGGCGGCCCCUUGGGGACUGAGACACGGCCCAGACUCCUCCGGGAGGCAGCAGUGGGGAAUAUUGCACACUGGGCGCAAGCCUGCUGCUGCCAUGCCGCUUGUAUGAAGAAGGCCUUCGGGUUGUAAAGUACUUUCAGCGAGGAGGCGUUACUCUCAGAAGAAGCACCGGCUAACUCCGUGCCAGCAGCCGCGGUAAUUC